rnacentral:rRNA from 1 species
AUGCUCACGGCCACCUCCUCCUUGCUUGCUUUCCCGCCCAUGCCUCCUCUAUCCUCUUCCUCGCUCUCUAGCCCUUUCGUCUUUCCUACUGCUCUCUCUCUCUCUCUCUCUCUCUCUCUCUCUCUCUCUCUCUCUCUCUCUCAGCCUCGAGCACCCUCAGAGAGCAUCGUCGCAGCCAUCGUGCAACCCACGCCUCGCUCACAUGUCCCCGAGCUCUGCCUCGACUUCGCGCGCCUCUUCGCCCAGUCACGCAAGGCCGGACGCCCGGAAGCGUCGCCAUUGAGCUCGUCCCUGCCGCCUCUGUUCGAAGACCGCUGGCGUUGA